UACGAAGGGGGCUAGCGUUGCUCGGAAUCACUGGGCGUAAAGCGCACGUAGGCGGCUUUCUAAGUCAGGGGUGAAAUUCUGGAGCUCAACUCCAGAACUGCCUUUGAUACUGGAGAGCUUGAGUCCGGAAGAGGUGAGUGGAACUCCGAGUGUAGAGGUGAAAUUCGUAGAUAUUCGGAAGAACACCAGUGGCGAAGGCGGCUCACUGGUCCGGUACUGACGCUGAGGUGCGAAAGCGUGGGGAGCAAACAGGG
rnacentral:rRNA from 1 species